UCUGCAUAAAUAUACUAUAUUUUUGUAGUCUAAAUUGCAAAGAGAAGGAACACAGGUGAAAAUUUCCACAUG